rnacentral:rRNA from 1 species
AGAGUUUGAUCCUGGCUCAGGAUGAACGCUGGCGGCGUGCCUAAUACAUGCAAGUCGAGCGAACGGACGAGAAGCUUGCUUCUCUGAUGUUAGCGGCGGACGGGUGAGUAACACGUGGAUAACCUACCUAUAAGACUGGGAUAACUUCGGGAAACCGGAGCUAAUACCGGAUAAUAUUUUGAACCGCAUGGUUCAAAAGUGAAAGACGGUCUUGCUGUCACUUAUAGAUGGAUCCGCGCUGCAUUAGCUAGUUGGUAAGGUAACGGCUUACCAAGGCAACGAUGCAUAGCCGACCUGAGAGGGUGAUCGGCCACACUGGAACUGAGACACGGUCCAGACUCCUACGGGAGGCAGCAGUAGGGAAUCUUCCGCAAUGGGCGAAAGCCUGACGGAGCAACGCCGCGUGAGUGAUGAAGGUCUUCGGAUCGUAAAACUCUGUUAUUAGGGAAGAACAUAUGUGUAAGUAACUGUGCACAUCUUGACGGUACCUAAUCAGAAAGCCACGGCUAACUACGUGCCAGCAGCCGCGGUAAUACGUAGGUGGCAAGCGUUAUCCGGAAUUAUUGGGCGUAAAGCGCGCGUAGGCGGUUUUUUAAGUCUGAUGUGAAAGCCCACGGCUCAACCGUGGAGGGUCAUUGGAAACUGGAAAACUUGAGUGCAGAAGAGGAAAGUGGAAUUCCAUGUGUAGCGGUGAAAUGCGCAGAGAUAUGGAGGAACACCAGUGGCGAAGGCGACUUUCUGGUCUGUAACUGACGCUGAUGUGCGAAAGCGUGGGGAUCAAACAGGAUUAGAUACCCUGGUAGUCCACGCCGUAAACGAUGAGUGCUAAGUGUUAGGGGGUUUCCGCCCCUUAGUGCUGCAGCUAACGCAUUAAGCACUCCGCCUGGGGAGUACGACCGCAAGGUUGAAACUCAAAGGAAUUGACGGGGACCCGCACAAGCGGUGGAGCAUGUGGUUUAAUUCGAAGCAACGCGAAGAACCUUACCAAAUCUUGACAUCCUUUGACAACUCUAGAGAUAGAGCCUUCCCCUUCGGGGGACAAAGUGACAGGUGGUGCAUGGUUGUCGUCAGCUCGUGUCGUGAGAUGUUGGGUUAAGUCCCGCAACGAGCGCAACCCUUAAGCUUAGUUGCCAUCAUUAAGUUGGGCACUCUAAGUUGACUGCCGGUGACAAACCGGAGGAAGGUGGGGAUGACGUCAAAUCAUCAUGCCCCUUAUGAUUUGGGCUACACACGUGCUACAAUGGACAAUACAAAGGGCAGCGAAACCGCGAGGUCAAGCAAAUCCCAUAAAGUUGUUCUCAGUUCGGAUUGUAGUCUGCAACUCGACUACAUGAAGCUGGAAUCGCUAGUAAUCGUAGAUCAGCAUGCUACGGUGAAUACGUUCCCGGGUCUUGUACACACCGCCCGUCACACCACGAGAGUUUGUAACACCC